rnacentral:rRNA from 1 species
UACGAAGGGGGCUAGCGUUGCUCGGAAUCACUGGGCGUAAAGGGUGCGUAGGCGGGUUUUUAAGUCAGAGGUGAAAUCCUGGAGCUCAACUCCAGAACUGCCUUUGAUACUGAAAGUCUUUGAGUAUGGGAGAGGUGAGUGGAACUGCGAGUGUAGAGGUGAAAUUCGUAGAUAUUCGCAAGAACACCAGUGGCGAAGGCGGCUCACUGGCCCAUUACUGACGCUGAGGCACGAAAGCGUGGGGAGCAAACAGGGAUUAAGAAACCC